rnacentral:rRNA from 1 species
UACGUAGGGGGCAAGCGUUGUCCGGAAUCAUUGGGCGUAAAGCGCGUGUAGGCGGUUCGGUAAGUCGGCUGUGAAAGUCCAGGGCUCAACCCUGGGAUGCCGGUCGAUACUGCCGGACUAGAGUUCGGAAGAGGCGAGUGGGAAUUCCCGGUGUAGCGGUGAAAUGCGCAGAUAUCGGGAGGAACACCAAUGGCGAAGGCAGCUCGCUGGGACGUUACUGACGCUGAGACGGCGAAAGCGUGGGAGCAAACAGG